GUCUUGGCAAACAGGGAGCUUGUUUUACCCUCCAGGUGAUGUCCCCACCCCUCCUUCGUCCUAUGGUCUCUUUCCACUCUUUUCAGCAGGUCUUGGAAGCAUGGCAGCUGUCUGGACUGCUCCCUGUGGAGCCCCAGUGUC
rnacentral:lncRNA from 1 species